rnacentral:rRNA from 2 species
GGUUAAGCGACUAAGCGUACACGGUGGAUGCCCUGGCAGUCAGAGGCGAUGAAGGACGUGCUAAUCUGCGAUAAGCGUCGGUAAGGUGAUAUGAACCGUUAUAACCGGCGAUUUCCGAAUGGGGAAACCCAGUGUGAUUCGUCACACUAUCAUUAACUGAAUCCAUAGGUUAAUGAGGCGAACCGGGGGAACUGAAACAUCUAAGUACCCCGAGGAAAAGAAAUCAACCGAGAUUCCCCCAGUAGCGGCGAGCGAACGGGGAGCAGCCCAGAGCCUGAAUCAGUGUGUGUGUUAGUGGAAGCGUCUGGAAAGGCGCGCGAUACAGGGUGACAGCCCCGUACACAAAAAUGCACAUGCUGUGAGCUCGAUGAGUAGGGCGGGACACGUGGUAUCCUGUCUGAAUAUGGGGGGACCAUCCUCCAAGGCUAAAUACUCCUGACUGACCGAUAGUGAACCAGUACCGUGAGGGAAAGGCGAAAAGAACCCCGGCGAGGGGAGUGAAAAAGAACCUGAAACCGUGUACGUACAAGCAGUGGGAGCACGCUUAGGCGUGUGACUGCGUACCUUUUGUAUAAUGGGUCAGCGACUUAUAUUCUGUAGCAAGGUUAACCGAAUAGGGGAGCCGAAGGGAAACCGAGUCUUAACUGGGCGUUAAGUUGCAGGGUAUAGACCCGAAACCCGGUGAUCUAGCCAUGGGCAGGUUGAAGGUUGGGUAACACUAACUGGAGGACCGAACCGACUAAUGUUGAAAAAUUAGCGGAUGACUUGUGGCUGGGGGUGAAAGGCCAAUCAAACCGGGAGAUAGCUGGUUCUCCCCGAAAGCUAUUUAGGUAGCGCCUCGUGAAUUCAUCUCCGGGGGUAGAGCACUGUUUCGGCAAGGGGGUCAUCCCGACUUACCAACCCGAUGCAAACUGCGAAUACCGGAGAAUGUUAUCACGGGAGACACACGGCGGGUGCUAACGUCCGUCGUGAAGAGGGAAACAACCCAGACCGCCAGCUAAGGUCCCAAAGUCAUGGUUAAGUGGGAAACGAUGUGGGAAGGCCCAGACAGCCAGGAUGUUGGCUUAGAAGCAGCCAUCAUUUAAAGAAAGCGUAAUAGCUCACUGGUCGAGUCGGCCUGCGCGGAAGAUGUAACGGGGCUAAACCAUGCACCGAAGCUGCGGCAGCGACGCUUAUGCGUUGUUGGGUAGGGGAGCGUUCUGUAAGCCUGUGAAGGUGUACUGUGAGGUAUGCUGGAGGUAUCAGAAGUGCGAAUGCUGACAUAAGUAACGAUAAAGCGGGUGAAAAGCCCGCUCGCCGGAAGACCAAGGGUUCCUGUCCAACGUUAAUCGGGGCAGGGUGAGUCGACCCCUAAGGCGAGGCCGAAAGGCGUAGUCGAUGGGAAACAGGUUAAUAUUCCUGUACUUGGUGUUACUGCGAAGGGGGGACGGAGAAGGCUAUGUUGGCCGGGCGACGGUUGUCCCGGUUUAAGCGUGUAGGCUGGUUUUCCAGGCAAAUCCGGAAAAUCAAGGCUGAGGCGUGAUGACGAGGCACUACGGUGCUGAAGCAACAAAUGCCCUGCUUCCAGGAAAAGCCUCUAAGCAUCAGGUAACAUCAAAUCGUACCCCAAACCGACACAGGUGGUCAGGUAGAGAAUACCAAGGCGCUUGAGAGAACUCGGGUGAAGGAACUAGGCAAAAUGGUGCCGUAACUUCGGGAGAAGGCACGCUGAUAUGUAGGUGAAGUCCCUCGCGGAUGGAGCUGAAAUCAGUCGAAGAUACCAGCUGGCUGCAACUGUUUAUUAAAAACACAGCACUGUGCAAACACGAAAGUGGACGUAUACGGUGUGACGCCUGCCCGGUGCCGGAAGGUUAAUUGAUGGGGUUAGCGCAAGCGAAGCUCUUGAUCGAAGCCCCGGUAAACGGCGGCCGUAACUAUAACGGUCCUAAGGUAGCGAAAUUCCUUGUCGGGUAAGUUCCGACCUGCACGAAUGGCGUAAUGAUGGCCAGGCUGUCUCCACCCGAGACUCAGUGAAAUUGAACUCGCUGUGAAGAUGCAGUGUACCCGCGGCAAGACGGAAAGACCCCGUGAACCUUUACUAUAGCUUGACACUGAACAUUGAGCCUUGAUGUGUAGGAUAGGUGGGAGGCUUUGAAGUGUGGACGCCAGUCUGCAUGGAGCCGACCUUGAAAUACCACCCUUUAAUGUUUGAUGUUCUAACGUUGACCCGUGAUCCGGGUUGCGGACAGUGUCUGGUGGGUAGUUUGACUGGGGCGGUCUCCUCCUAAAGAGUAACGGAGGAGCACGAAGGUUGGCUAAUCCUGGUCGGACAUCAGGAGGUUAGUGCAAUGGCAUAAGCCAGCUUGACUGCGAGCGUGACGGCGCGAGCAGGUGCGAAAGCAGGUCAUAGUGAUCCGGUGGUUCUGAAUGGAAGGGCCAUCGCUCAACGGAUAAAAGGUACUCCGGGGAUAACAGGCUGAUACCGCCCAAGAGUUCAUAUCGACGGCGGUGUUUGGCACCUCGAUGUCGGCUCAUCACAUCCUGGGGCUGAAGUAGGUCCCAAGGGUAUGGCUGUUCGCCAUUUAAAGUGGUACGCGAGCUGGGUUUAGAACGUCGUGAGACAGUUCGGUCCCUAUCUGCCGUGGGCGCUGGAGAACUGAGGGGGGCUGCUCCUAGUACGAGAGGACCGGAGUGGACGCAUCACUGGUGUUCGGGUUGUCAUGCCAAUGGCACUGCCCGGUAGCUAAAUGCGGAAGAGAUAAGUGCUGAAAGCAUCUAAGCACGAAACUUGCCCCGAGAUGAGUUCUCCCUGACUCCUUGAGAGUCCUGAAGGAACGUUGAAGACGACGACGUUGAUAGGCCGGGUGUGUAAGCGCAGCGAUGCGUUGAGCUAACCGGUACUAAUGAACCGUGAGGCUUAACCUU